rnacentral:tRNA from 1 species
AAGACACUAGUAAAAUCGCCAUUACACUGCCUUGUCAAGGCAAAAUUGCGGGUUAAAUCCCCGCGUGACUUG